CAAGGUGGGGAUAUUGCAGGGAGCAGGAGAAAUCCUGAGCCUUCUCCUCAUUCCUCUGCUGUGAGAAGCAGUCAAUCGAGGAGGAGAUAGCUCCCCUGCACACACACUUCUUUGGAUGAGGUACAGCUGCUCCCUGUUAAUGGAUAUUACCUGGGCCACUGCUCACCUGUAGAUUGCUACAGCUCUGGGAGCCUGGAGUCAUUGUGAAACUAACAAAUUGGCUCUGUGUCCCCAGCUGGUAGUGCUUUGCUGGUACCAGCACCUGCCUACAAUCAGCUUCUGGGUGGAGCUGGGCACUGGGCUAGGGCUAUUUCUCCUUUGCCUGCUGGGUCUGUGUGUGCUUGUGCUGUUAUUUGCUUGUAUGGUAUUGGAGGUGGUGGUGUUCUGAAAAGUGUUGCUUUUCAGAGUGUGUCUAGAAAGAAGAGAGUGCUGAAGCUGUAUGCACAAGAUGGAAAGCAAAGAAGGGGCUGGAUCUGAGGAGCUGCAGACCUAGGACUGAGGCAUGGCAGAGGCAUGAGAGGAGGCAGCCAUAGCCAGGCUUGACCUGCAGCUCCACACAGAGGGAGGAGCAAGGAUGAGGUAAGAUAUCCUUGGGACAGGGGAAAGC